CCUACGGGUGGCAGCAGUGAGGAAUAUUGGUCAAUGGGCGCGAGCCUGAACCAGCCAAGUAGCGUGAAGGAUGACUGCCCUACGGGUUGUAAACUUCUUUUACAAAGGAAUAAUGUGAGGCACGUGUGCCUUUUUGUAUGUACUUUAUGAAUAAGGACCGGCUAAUUCCGUGCCAGCAGCCGAGGUAAUACGGAGGAGCCGAGCGUUAUCCGGAUUUAUUGGGUUUAAAGAGAGCGUAGUUGGGUUGUUAAGUCAGGUGUGAAAGGUUGCGGGGCAAACGUGAGAGUGAAAUUGAUACUGGCAGGCGUGAGUACAGUUGAGGGAGGCGGGAUUCGGGGUGUGGCGGUGAAAUGCU
rnacentral:rRNA from 1 species